AUUGAACGCUGGCGGCAGGCCUAACACAUGCAAGUCGAACGAGCGGCGGACGGGUGAGUAAUGUCUGGGAAUCUGCCCGAUGGAGGGGGAUAACUACUGGAAACGGUAGCUAAUACCGCAUACUAUCGGAUGUGCCCAGAUGGGAUUAGCUUGUUGGUGGGGUAAAGGCUCACCAAGGCGACGAUCCCUAGCUGGUCUGAGAGGAUGAUCAGCCACACUGGAACUGAGACACGGUCCAGACUCCUACGGGAGGCAGCAGUGGGGAAUAUUGCACAAUGGGCGCAAGCCUGAUGCAGCCAUGCCGCGUGUAUGAAGAAGGCCUUAGGGUUGUAAAGUACUUUCAGCGGGGAGGCGUUACCCGCAGAAGAAGCACCGGCUAACUCCGUGCCAGCAGCCGCGGUAAUAC
rnacentral:rRNA from 1 species